rnacentral:rRNA from 1 species
AAGUCGAGCGAUCUUCUUCGGAAGAGAGCGGCGGACGGGUGAGUAACGCGUGGGUAACCUGCCCUGUACACACGGAUAACAUACCGAAAGGUAUGCUAAUACGGGAUAACAUAAGAAAGUCGCAUGGCUUUCUUAUCAAAGCUUUUGCGGUACAGGAUGGACCCGCGUCUGAUUAGCUAGUUGGUAAGGUAACGGCUUACCAAGGCGACGAUCAGUAGCCGACCUGAGAGGGUGAUCGGCCACAUUGGAACUGAGACACGGUCCAAACUCCUACGGGAGGCAGCAGUGGGGAAUAUUGCACAAUGGGCGAAAGCCUGAUGCAGCAACGCCGCGUGAGCGAUGAAGGCCUUCGGGUCGUAAAGCUCUGUCCUCAAGGAAGAUAAUGACGGUACUUGAGGAGGAAGCCCCGGCUAACUACGUGCCAGCAGCCGCGGUAAUACGUAGGGGGCUAGCGUUAUCCGGAAUUACUGGGCGUAAAGGGUGCGUAGGCGGUCUUUCAAGUCAGAAGUGAAAGGCUACGGCUCAACCGUAGUAAGCUUUUGAAACUGUAAGACUUGAGUGCAGGAGAGGAGAGUGGAAUUCCUAGUGUAGCGGUGAAAUGCGUAGAUAUUAGGAGGAACACCAGUUGCGAAGGCGGCUCUCUGGACUGUAACUGACGCUGAGGCCCGAAAGCGUGGGGAGCAAACAGG